rnacentral:tRNA from 1 species
GCCGCGAUAGCUCAGCUGGUAGAGCGCAUCCAUGGUAAGGAUGAGGUCUCGAGUUCAAACCUCGAUCGUGGCUCCA